rnacentral:tRNA from 2 species
GCGGAUGUGGCGGAAUUGGCAGACGCGCUAGAUUCAGGUUCUAGUGCCCUUCGGGGCGUGGAGGUUCAACUCCUCUCAUCCGCA